rnacentral:rRNA from 1 species
GACGAACGCUGGCGGCGUGCCUAAUACAUGCAAGUUGAGCGCUGAAGGUUGGUACUUGUACCAACUGGAUGAGCAGCGAACGGGUGAGUAACGCGUGGGGAAUCUGCCUUUGAGCGGGGGACAACAUUUGGAAACGAAUGCUAAUACCGCAUAAAAACUUUAAACACAAGUUUUAAGUUUGAAAGAUGCAAUUGCAUCACUCAAAGAUGAUCCCGCGUUGUAUUAGCUAGUUGGUGAGGUAAAGGCUCACCAAGGCGAUGAUACAUAGCCGACCUGAGAGGGUGAUCGGCCACAUUGGGCCUGAGACACGGCCCAAACUCCUACGGGAGGCAGCAGUAGGGGAUCUUCGGCAAUGGACGAAAGUCUGACCGAGCAACGCCGCGUGAGUGAAGAAGGUUUUCGGAUCGUAAAACUCUGUUGGUAGAGAAGAACGUUGGUGAGAGUGGAAAGCUCAUCAAGUGACGGUAACUACCCAGAAAGGGACGGCUAACUACGUG